GAACUGCGAUAAGUAAUGUGAAUUGCAGAAUUCAGUGAAUCAUCGAGUCUUUGAACGCACAUUGCGCCCCCUGGCAUUCCGGGGGACAUGCCUGUCCGAGCGUCAUUGCUGCCCUUCAAGCCCGGCUUGUGUGUUGGGUCGUCGUCCCCUCCGGGGGACGGGCCCGAAAGGCAGCGGCGGCACCGCGUCCGGUCCUCGAGCGUAUGGGGCUUUGUCACCCGCUCGAUAAGGACCGGCCGGGCGCCAGCCGGCGUCUCCAACCUUUUUUUCUCAGGUUGACCUCGGAUCAGGUAGGGAUACCCGCUGAACUUAAGC
rnacentral:misc_RNA from 1 species